UACGGGGGGGGCAAGCGUUGUUCGGAAUUACUGGGCGUAAAGGGCUUGUAGGUGGCCAACUAAGUCAGACGUGAAAUCCCUCAGCUUAACUGGGGAACUGCGUCUGAUACUGGAUGGCUUGAGUUCGGGAGAGGGAUGCGGAAUUCCAGGUGUAGCGGUGAAAUGCGUAGAUAUCUGGAGGAACACCGGUGGCGAAGGCGGCAUCCUGGACCGACACUGACGCUGAGGAGCGAAAGCCAGGGGAGCAAACGGG
rnacentral:rRNA from 1 species